AGAUUGAUGGGGAAGGAUGAUGGAUCCUGUGGCUCUGAUACCAAAUUGGUGGAGGGCCGAUAGGAGAAGGGAAGAAGUAGCCUGAGAGGGGUCUCAGAGUUGCAAGGGAGAGGAACAAUUCGCAUAAGAAAGGAGGGGGUGGGGGAAAAGAGAAUCGCACACACCAGCCCAAAGGCUUCAA